GUAGGGAAUAUUGGGCAAUGGAGGCAACUCUGACCCAGCCAUGCCGCGUGCAGGAUGACGGCCCUCUGGGUUGUAAACUGCUUUUAUACGGGAAGAAAAAAUACUACGUGUAGUAUACUGACGGUACCGUAAGAAUAAGGAUCGGCUAACUCCGUGCCAGCAGCCGCGGUAAUACGGAGGAUCCAAGCGUUGUCCGGAUUUAUCGGGUUUAAAGGGUGCGUAGGCGGAUCUUUAAGUCAGUGGUGAAAGCCUGCAGCUUAACUGUAGAAUUGCCAUUGAAACUGAAGAUCUUGAAUGUGGUUAAAGUAGGCGGAAUGUAUCAUGUAGCGGUGAAAUGCUUAGAUAUGAUACAGAACACCGAUAGCGAAGGCAGCUUGCUGAACCAUUAUUGACGCUGAGGCACGAAAGCGUGGGGAGCGAACAGGAUUAGAAACCCGGGUAGUCC
rnacentral:rRNA from 1 species